rnacentral:tRNA from 1 species
UGUGUUUUAGUAUUGACUAAUCAAAAAGUACGUAGAAAUUUGAAUUCUAAAGGAAAACCACAA